rnacentral:rRNA from 1 species
GUCGUCGACCAUGACCUCCUCAGCCAGGAGGGAGAGCGCACCACCAUCGUCUCCAAGAUUCUCGCCACUCACUUUGGCCCUGCCCGCCGUCUCUCCUUCAGUCGCCCUAGCGGCAUCCGCCUCUGCCGCAAGCUCUAUGGCAAAUUCGAUGGCUGGUUCCGGUCCCCUUCCCUCAAUGGCCUUGAGGAGCUCUACUUGUCUAGCGACGACAAGUCGCCGUGCCCGCUGCCGCCGCCCGUGCUCCGCCUCGCUCACACGCUGCACAUUGCCAGCAUCGGUGGCUGUGAUUUUACCGAGAUUAAUGCUGCCCGCACACAUAGCUUCCCUCGGCUGAAGAAACUCAAACUCUACGAUGUCUCCAUCUCGGAGGCGACCCUCCACCGCCUGCUUGCCGGCUGCACUAUGCUUGAUCUUCGAUGGAUACGUGGGCUCAGCAGCAUCCGGAUCGUCUCGCCGACUCUCCGAAGUAUUCGCGUAUCUGUUUGUGACCACUAUGAUGAAGAGCCUGUGUUCCCGGAACUUGUUAUUGAGGAUGCACCUUGCCUUGAAAGAUUGACCCCACAUGGUUUAAAUGGUAGCCCAAGGACAAUCAGGGUGAUCGCGGCGCCUAAACUGACGGUGUUGGGCUACCUGUCUAGGCAAAUCUACGAGCUUAUUAUUGGAACCAUAAGGGUUAAG